rnacentral:sRNA from 1 species
CGUUGGCCCCGAAGUGUCGGGAGGAAAAUCCUUUUGUGGUGGGGUUCACCACAAAAGAUUGGAAGGAACAGCGGGAAAUAGC